UCCCUCGGGAAACUGAGGUUAAUAUCUGAUAGGAGAUUUAUACUGGAAAGAUUAAUCUUUAAAAUUCGAGCCUAAGGAUGGGGCUGCGGUGGAUUAGGUUGUUGGCGGGGUAAUAGCCCACCAAGCCUUUGAUCCAUAGGGGCUCUUAGCGGAGAAGCCCCGAGAGGGAAUCUGAGACACUAUUCCCAGCCCUACGGGGUGCAGCAGUUAGGAAUAUUCUGCAAUGCGCGUAAGCGUGACAGAUUGAGUCAGAGUGCGCUUCAAUUUGGAGUGCUUUUGCUAAAUGUAAAAAGUUUGGCGAAUAAGGACUGGGUAAGACGAGUGCCAGCCGCCGCGGUAAUACUCGCGGUCCAAGUCGCAGCCAUUUUUAUUGGGUCUAAAACAUCCGUAGCUUGCUUGGUGAGUUCCUUGUGAAAUUCUAUAUCUCAAAUAUGGAGCGUGCAGGGAGUACUGCCAAGCUAGAGACUGGAAGACGUAACGAGUACGUUUGGAGUAGCGGUAAAAUGUGUUAAUCCCGGACGGACUAACAAUAGCGAAGGCACGUUACGAGGACAGUUCUGACAGUAAGGGAUGAAGGCUAGGGGCGCAAAACGGAUUAGAUACCCGUGUAGUCCUAGCAGUAAACACUGCACACUAAACAUUAGUACCUCCUCGAGAGGUAUUGGUGCUGAAGGGAAGCCGAAGAGUGUGCUACCUGGGAAGUAUAGUCGCAAGGCCGAAACUUAAAGGAAU
rnacentral:rRNA from 1 species